rnacentral:rRNA from 1 species
ACAGAGGGUGCAAGCGUUAAUCGGAAUUACUGGGCGUAAAGGGCGCGUAGGUGGUUUAUUAAGUCAGAUGUGAAAUACCUGGGCUUAACCUAGGAACUGCAUUUGAAACUAAUUGGCUAGAGUGUGGGAGAGGGAAGUGGAAUUUCCGGUGUAGCGGUGAAAUGCGUAGAUAUCGGAAGGAACACCAGUGGCGAAGGCGACUUCCUGGCCCAUUACUGACACUGAGGCGCGAAAGCGUGGGGAGCGAACAGGA